rnacentral:rRNA from 1 species
UGGGGAAUAUUGCACAAUGGGCGCAAGCCUGAUGCAGCAACACUGCGUGAAGGAUGAAGGUUUUCGGAUUGUAAACUUCUUUUGUGUGGGAAUAAUCUUGAAGGUACCACACGAAUAAGCACCGGCUAACUACGUGCCAGCAGCCGCGGUAAUACGUAGGGUGCAAACGUUAUCCGGAUUUAUUGGGCGUAAAGAGCUCGUAGGUGGAGUGGUAAGUUGGAUAUUAAAGCCCCAGGCUCAACUUGGGAAAAGUAUCCAAAACUGCCUCUCUAGAGGAAUGCAGGGGAGAACGGAACUUACGGUGUAGCGGUGGAAUGCGUAGAUAUCGUAAGGAACGCCAAUGGUGAAGACAGUUCUCUGGGCAUUUUCUGACGCUGAGGAGCGAAAGCGUGGGUAGCGAUCGGG